rnacentral:misc_RNA from 1 species
GAAAUGCGAUAAUUAAUGUGAAUUGCAGAAUUCAGUGAAUCAUCGAGUCUUUGAACGCACAUUGCGCCCCCUGGUAUUCCGGGGGGCAUGCCUGUCCGAGCGUCAUUGCUGCCCUCAAGCACGGCUUGUGUGUUGGGCUUCCGUCCCUGGCAACGGGGACGGGCCCAAAAGGCAUUGGCGGCACCAUGUCUGGUCCUCGAGCGUAUGGGGCUUUGUCACCCGCUCCCGUAGGUCCAGCUGGCAGCUAGCCUCGCAACCAAUCUUUUUAACCAGGUUGACCUCGGAUCAGGUAGGGAUACCCGCUGAACUUAAGC